rnacentral:rRNA from 1 species
UUUUAAAUGGCCGCAGUAUUUUGACUGUGCAAAGGUAGCAUAAUCAUUAGUUUUUUAAUUAAAAGCUUGUAUGAAAGGCUGGACGAGGUAAAAUCUGUCUCUAUUUAAAUUAUAAUAGAAUUUAACUUUUAAGUUAAAAGGCUUAAAUACUAUUAAAAGACGAGAAGACCCUAUAGAUCUUUAUAGUUUAUUAAAUGAAAUUAAUUUAGAAAUAUUUAUGUUUUAUUUAGUUAAAUUAUUUUAUUGGGGUAAUAAAAAGAUUGUGUUAAUUCUUUUUUACAAUAAACAUUAAUUUAUGAAUAUUAAUGAUCCAGUUUUACUGAUUAUAAGAUUAAGUUACCUUAGGGAUAACAGCGUAAUUUUUUUAGAGAGUUCAUAUCGAUAAAAAAGUUUGCGACCUCGAUGUUGGAUUAAAGAUUAUUUUAGGUGUAGAAGCUUAAUAAUUUUGGUCUGUUCGACCAUUAAAUCUUUACAUGAUCUGAGUUCAGACCGGCGUAAGCCAGGUCGGUUUCUAUCUUUAAUAAAAUAAAAUAUUUUAGUACGAAAGGACCAAAUAUUUGAUAUAUUUAUAUUUAAUUUAUUGAAUAUUA